UCCUGCAGAUGAAAAGCAUAAGGGUUAGUCAGUCCAUGGACUCCAACUGCAUCAAGCACUAGGACAACAGCUGAACUGGGUGCUAUGGACUGCAGCUGCAUCAAGUACCACAGUCAAACGGGAACAUAUAAGGUGAAGAGGUACAAGAUGUUCAAACUCACUGGAUAAAGAGAGAUUUUUCACUUGGCAUAUGCAGAACUAACCCACACUGAUGAAAUCAAGAAGAUGGAGUCUGUAGAAAACCUAAGUGCUUCCUCAGUAAAGCAGCUGCUUGGAAGAAGAGGUCCUACAGGAAACCAGGGAAACGCAGCACACUGACAGAUAAGAUUCAGUUCCUGCGUUGAGUUCCUGCACUGCUGUCCCUUAACGAUGGAGCUGUAAAAUAAAACAAGCCCUUUCCCUUUGGUCAUGGUGUUUAAUCACAGCAAUAGAAAUAAAACAAG